AACGAACGCUGGCGGCGUGGAUAAGACAUGCAAGUCGAACGGGAUCAUUGGAGUAGCAAUACAACGAUGGUCUAGUGGCGAACGGGUGCGUAACACGUGGAUACAUUCCGGGAAGCGGGGGAUAGCCCAGGGAAACUUGGAUUAAUACCGCAUGUGAUCGAGAGAUCAAAGACGGGGACCGCAAGGCCUGUCACUUCCCGAUUGGUCCGCGGCCUAUCAGCUAGUUGGCUGGGUAAAGGCCCACCAAGGCUACGACGGGUAGCUGGUCUUAGAGGACGACCAGCCACACUGGAACUGAGACACGGUCCAGACACCUACGGGUGGCAGCAGUCGAGAAUCUUUCACAAUGGGGGCAACCCUGAUGGAGCGACGCCGCGUGGAGGAUAAGGUCUUCGGAUUGUAAACUCCUGUCAUGUGAGAACAAGGUUGCAGGGUUAAUACCUUUGCAAAUUGAUGGUAUCACAAGAGGAAGAGACGGCUAACUCUGUGCCAGCCGCCGCGGUAAAAC
rnacentral:rRNA from 1 species